UACGAGGGGUCCUAGCGUUGUUCGGAAUCAUUGGGCUUAAAGGGUGUGUAGGUGGCCAUCCAAGUCAGUUGUGAAAUCCCCGGGCUUAACCCGGGAAGUGCUUCUGAUACUGUUUGGCUUGAGUGCUGGAGAGGAUAGUAGAAUUCCUGGUGUAGUGGUGAAAUACGUAGAUAUCAGGAGGAAUACCGGUGGCGAAGGCGGCUAUCUGGCCAUGUACUGACGCUGAAACACGAAAGCGUGGGGAGCAGACAGG
rnacentral:rRNA from 1 species